rnacentral:tRNA from 1 species
GCGCCCGUGGAGCACGCAAUGGACACGCGCGGCCGUCGACCACGCGCGGCGAGAGCACGACUCGUGCUUCGCGGUACAACCCGAGCGGUCGCC